rnacentral:rRNA from 1 species
ACAGCAGCCGCCACGGGAAUACGAAGGGGGCUAGCGUUGUUCGGAUUUACUGGGCGUAAAGCGCACGUAGGCGGACUUUUAAGUCAGGGGUGAAAUCCCGGGGCUCAACCCCGGAACUGCCUUUGAUACUGGAAGUCUUGAGUAUGGUAGAGGUGAGUGGAAUUCCGAGUGUAGAGGUGAAAUUCGUAGAUAUUCGGAGGAACACCAGUGGCGAAGGCGGCUCACUGGACCAUUACUGACGCUGAGGUGCGAAAGCGUGGGGAGCAAACAGGAUUAGAUACCCCUGUAGUCCCUGUCUCUUAUAC